ACACCGCAGACAGGACGCAUAUAUUUUCACUUGUAUUUUGUCGACUUCUAGACAAUAACCAAUAAUUUUCUCGAUUCGGCCUUAGGCCAAAGGCGAUCAGUGGGUAGAAACUUUUGACAUAAUUCAUUUAUUAACACGAUUCUUUAUUAUUGGUAUAAUUAACAGUUAUUUGGGUACUUUAACGGUACUUUACGUCAACUUCAGUAUAACAGUUUGGAUAUUUCAGGAAAUCGGAUUUUAUUAUUUGAAGAGAAGAUGAGAUUCACGGACUGUAUUCUGUUUUUGUUUAUAUAUGGUUGCGUGGCUAGUACAGAUCAAGCUAAUCAGUUAAAUGUGGAAACAAAAGAAAAGAGAUCAACUCGGGAUCGUCGGGGCGACAAUCCAAUUUCGAGGGGAGUACGAGAAGGUUUUCAGCGUAUGUUUGAAAAUGGUGACUUAGAUGCGUUUACCCCAGCCCCUCUACGGCCUGAAGAGGUGGAAUGUCAAGUCGGAGUUGAAGAGACAAUUUAUCAUGAUGGCCGUUGUAUAAGCCUCGGCAGUUCUCAUCGACACGCGUGUCAGGCUGGACGACAGUUGGAACUGUACAACACUGAAUGUGUCCGACAAUCUGACAGCGGUAGGAGUAAUGGUGGACGAAGACAAAGGGGAGGUAACCAAAGAAGACGAGGCACAGGUAGAAGAACUGGUGGUAGAAAUUAAAAAUAAACACACAAAAUAUUCGUAAUUGUAAAAUGUAAUUUAGUGUCAUUGCUGAUAACUUUUGAAUUAAUAAUAUGUCUAAGCGCGAAACCGAUUGAUCAUGGUCACCAUGUUAUGGGGAUACGUCAUUUCUCAUUCAGGGGCGGAUGCAGGAUUUUUCUAACGGCGUGUGGAAUCGAAUUGAAAUUAGAUUCGGCUAAAAAGUAAAAUUUGUUUAAUGUCAUAUUAAAACACAUAGUGCCAUUGGUUUACUGGUUUAUUGGUCGAGAGCGAGACAGUAAGUAAUAUAUUGAUACUGCACGAGGCGUUAGCCGAGUGUCGUUUCAAUUUAUUACGCAAUGUCUUUAGUUCGAGACCAUUAAGCAGCUUAAAAAUACGUCACACGACUCCAAUAUUUCAUCUAGUAUAGAUAAUGUAUGAUUGGCAAGUUGCCCGUACAUUACUGGAAGUAAUGGUACGCCAACAUCACAGGAUGACGUCACAUCUGUAUAAAAGGGUUGUGCCAACCCCAGUACCCUCCACCCCAAGCACCCCCAUUCUGUAUCCGCACCAGUUGAUUAAUGUUGUUGGUCAUGCUGGCUGAUUCGUUUUAAAGAAGCAAAGGACUAGAAUACGUUGACAGUUUGAUUAUUGAUGAAUUCAAAUAGAUUAUUCAAAAUGUAGGUUAUCUCCCUUACAUUUAUAUAUUUAUCAUUAUUAUUAUGAACAGUGUAUCGGUUGUAUAUUUAUGUAUAAUGUUGUGGUUUAUAUCUAUUUAUUUAUAAACAUAUAAUUUUUAAAUCUUAAAUCCGCCAUUCCCGAAUGCGUUGGAAUUUUCAACGGGUUUUCUGAUCAAAUUAAAGGAAACAGUUUGAAAUGAAAACUGGCUUGUAUACACCACGUAGUGUGCUAUAAUGCAAAUGUUACCCGGAUAUAACAAUUUCCGACUGUUAUUCGGAUAUUUAAUGUACUGCCUCAGAUGUACACGGAACAUCGGUGAUGCACCCCGUCUGAAGGACUAGGCACUUUUCCCAAUCUGAUUAAAACACAGAUCUUAUUUAUAGUUCAAAUUUUCGUUUUACUUGUCUUAACUACAUGUACACUAGGAUCUGGAAGAGUCUUUAUAUAACACGCGUUUUGGAUGAUGUAAGGGAUUAGCCAAUGAAACGGUCUGUUACGGCGAGUUUUAGGCGUGAGGUACACGGAACUGUGGGUAACCCACUAGAAACAUCAACGCUGAUUGGUUAAUACUUUUUCAUAAAUAUAAUUUAUUUCUAUAGUUCAUUGGAAUGAACAUUUGCGGCCAAAAUUCGCCUCGAACCCGGAACAGUAAGAGUUAUGGGCAUAUCCAUAAUUUUAACAUGGGUCUUUUCUUGAAUGUAGAGGGUUAGCAUAUCAAAUAAUUUUUAAACUUUUACAUAAAUAUAAUUUAUUUCUAUAGUUCGUCAGACAUUGGAAUACGUGUCUCCCCCAAUACAUAUCGCAAUACGAAAUUUACGGUACUUAUAUUUUCACUUUAACAUUUACUUAGUUUUUAAGUAACCCUUAUGAUGGUUCGUUUAAAGGGGCAUUAUGGAAGAUUAGAUAAAGAGCUGGCAGUUCUCAUUAUAAUUGUUCGACCCUGAACCGAUAUAUUAGCCUUUGAAUUUUAGGCUUAGCCUCGAUCAUCAUUAGUCUCGAUUAUCCAUUUUUGGAUUGAAUCAUCAAUGAGCGUUGAGCAGCAAAUCGGAUUUAAAUCCAGUGAAAAUUCGACACAUAAGAUGGCAUCAAGAGUUGAUUAUGGACUUUUCAUGUUAAUAAAUGUCUAAUUAAUAGUUUAUAUAACAUUUCAGGCCCAAAGAAAGACCUGCAAUAGGCAGAUUUAGCUCUUGCAUAAUGCAUGUGUAAUUUAAUUGUACGAAAACACCCUUUCUAUCAGACAUUUUACUAAUAUUAAUGUAAACAAUAACUUACAUAAUUGUUUGUAAAGAAAUCCAUGAAUAUAUGCAGAAUUGCAGUCAGAUCUAUUUAACGUUUUUCACCUUAAAAAUGCAUUUAGCAAUUUAGAAGAAAAUGUAUAACAUUUGGAACUUAGGCUUAGGCGCUUUGGGUCUCUUAUAGUCUCGGUCACCCAGAACCUCCUAGUCUUCAACGUACUGAGGGUCUGGGACCGUUGUCAAUAUUUGACGAAAAGUUCCAUUGUCCAUGCGUAACCGGGGGUUUGUUUUUUAUUUGGUUGAUUAUCCAGUAUCUUUGGUUAAAGUCAAGUAAUAAAUCCUAUAAUUUUUGAAUUAAUAUAAACAGACAUGAAUCGUGACCACGAAUUAGAAUUAAUUAAAAUAAAAAAUAGAUAUGGCCUAUGAACAGAGAAAUUUUACAAUAAAAAAAAAUUAAAAGUGUUGGAUAUUGAACUGGUAAUGUAAUCAAAUGGAUUUUCUGAAAUGGCAUGCUUAAAUUAAUUUCAUGGUAGGGUGGCCCAUGUGCUCUACAGAAAUAAAGUCCACCGCUGAUAGUUCGAGACUACCACUGAAGCGUACACAUUCGCCGUGCCGAGACCAACUUUCUGACAAUAUGAUACUAUAAAUAGCCAUGGCACGUGCAAUUCUCUACAAAUCUAUCAACUAUUACAGCCGUAAAAAAUUUAUUGUUGACGAUUUUGAAUAGCAGUGAAAUUAAGCUUCUUGGUUAUUACAGCAGAUUUAGAAAUUACGUUCGUUUCAUUUUUUAAAUCGCUUUAUCAUUAACUGUACCGUUAAGAGCGGCAUCUUUUGGUUUAGUACAAAUAAUAUCUCUGAAUCACUCGGAUUAGACAGGAACAUGAUACUUGCAGUAGUUUCAUUUUACUUUUACAAGGUUCUUAAAACGAUUGUUGAGCUACCUAACGUGCUUAUUUCUAAAUUCAAUUUCUUGUUCUAGCUUUCUGUUAUGUUUCGUAAAAAAGUAGUCUUGAUUAUCCCGACCUGUCAAUCAGACGUAGAAUGGUCGAUAGACUGGUUAAGCGAGACUAAUUUCAAAACAAGGGCACGUAACCUAUCUUUUACUCAAAAGUGUCUGGAUGUAAUGGACGACACUUGGAACCAGUUUUCAGUCUAUUAUUUAUAGAUGAUUAAUGGUCAUAGCUUGUUAAGUACAACAUGAUCGUUUAUUUAGUGACUAUAAUUGUGUGAAACUGAUUUGAGGCUUGGCAUAUAUAUAAAUAUUGUGGCGUAAUUGUCGAGAUAUAAGGAGAUAUAUGGAGAUAUUUAUUUAUGGUGGGUCACCCUACAUGGGCAUCAACAUCUUGGUUUAGGACUAGUUACCUCCCUUAGACUUUGUUUAUGAUAAUGUGAAAGACUGGAUAAUUUAGCCAAUGACCUACUAAUAUUGGUAGAAUAUUUUUCUGGAUGAUAGAGACUAGGUCUGUUAAAGAAGAUUUGAACCAUUCAGUACAUUGUUAACCCUAAAAAAUUACUAGUAAUGUACAUCUUAAUGUUGUCAUGUUGUUUUGUGUUUUACAAAUAAAAUAGACU